rnacentral:piRNA from 1 species
UACGAUCAGAACACUUUAGGACCUCUCUGU